rnacentral:tRNA from 1 species
GGUGUAUGGCUUAGUGGCACAGUGCCUGCCUGGCAAGUGCGAGGUCCUGAGUUUGAUUCUCAGUACCCA